AAAGUAAUCAGAGGUGUAGUGCGCCUUUGUUAUCUUCAAAUAAAAAACAACCUUAUUUAUCAUUUCAUAGUUUUUCCACCGACGAAAAUUUUAAGAAAGCGUUGAAAUUGGGCUAUACGGAGAGAGGAGGGGGCGACCUUUACUGUGAGGAAAGAUCUCGCACCACGAGCUGUGCCUUCCAGGUUUGCGUGGAAAAGUUGCGAAGACGUUAAAUCACGCGUCAAAACGGGAUGUUUGUGGUGCAGAGAAGUAAAUGUGGAGAUGGUGCAGGAGCACGAUUACAACAGCCGUCCUGUCCCAGGUGCUCUUGCUGUGGCAUGGGGGAAAAAAAGAGCUGGAAAAAACACCUGCUAGUGACAUCAGCAUCAUCUACACACCUGCUAGUGACGUCAUGCUCCUCCUCACCUGCUAGUGACAUCAGCA